rnacentral:rRNA from 1 species
AUGGAACGCAUGGUAGCCUCUUAUUUCCAGGAGGUGUAUACUAAGGACCCUACCUUAACUCCGGAUGCUUUGUUAGAUAUGAUCACGCCCAAGGUUACAGCUGCAAUGAACGAAAGGUUGCUGGCACCCGUUUCAGAGAAAGAGAUUUCAGAUGCGCUCUUUCAAAUUGGCCUGUUGAAGGCACCCGGGCCUGAUGGUUUUCCUGCAAGGUUCUAUCAAAGGAAUUGGGGAGUGUUGAAAGAGGAAAUUGUGAAGGCGGUACAACAGUUCUUUGUGACUGGGAUCAUGCCUGACGGUGUAAACGACACAUCUAUUGUGUUAAUACCCAAGAUUCAGCAUCCCUCCUCCCUAAAGGAUUUUCGCCCUAUUUCUUUAUGCAAUGUGAUCUACAAGAUAGUCUCAAAGUGCAUGGUAAAUCGUCUUCGUCCACUCCUUACAGAGCUCAUAUCUGAAAAUCAAAGUGCGUUUAUCCCGGGAAGACUUAUCUCAGAUAAUUCAAUCAUUGCCUUUGAAUGUUUACACCAUACACAAUCCAGUACUGGAGGCAAUAAUUUUUGUGCUUACAAGUUGGAUCUCUCCAAAGCCUACGAUCGUGUUGAUUUGGUUUUCUUGGAGCGGGCGCUUUUGAAGUGGGGAUUCGCGAGAGAAUGGGUCACCCAGGUCAUGGAGUGUGUGCGUUCGGUAAAGUUUGUGGUAAAGUUUAAUGGAAAAUCUCUGGAACAGGUUUCACCAUCUCGCGGUUUGCGUCAAGGUGACCCAUUAUCACCCUUCCUGUUUCUCUUUGUCGCUGAUUCUUUAUCCGCUCUUUUACAUGGUGUUGUACAAGAAAGAGGUCUUGAGGGUAUAAAAAUGUGCCAGGGCGCUCCGGCUAUUUCACACUUAUUGUUUGCGGAUGACUCCUUGCUCUUUUUUUGGGCUUCCUCGGAUCAAGCGGUGAUUGUCAGGGAUGUUUUGAACACUUAUGUUUCAGCUACGAGUCAACUUAUCAAUCCUUCAAAGUGUUCAAUCUUGUUUGCUGACAGCUGCCCUCCUCAGAUGGUUGAAGAAGUGAAAGGUAUUCUGCAAGUCACUCAACAGGAGUUUGAACCCAAGUACCUUGGCCUUCCUAUACCGAAAGGUCAUAUGCAUAAGGGUCGUUUUGAGUCAUUACAAUCCAGAUUGAGUAAGAGGUUAAUUUACUGGAGCGAAAGGUAUUCAUCACAAGCUAGCAAAGAAGUAUUAAUCAAGUCUGUUGCACAAGCCAUCCAAGUUUAUGUCAUGAGCAUAUUUAAACUUCCCUUCUCCGUGUGCGAUGAUCUAACAAAAAUGAUGAGACAAUAUUGGUGGGGGGUAGAGAAUGGCAGGCGGAAAAUGGCAUGGACUGCAUGGGACAAGCUAAUUUUACCCAAGUCGAAAGGAGGUUUCGGAUUCAGAGAUAUGAGAGCUUAUAACCAGGCGUUGCUUGCUAAGCAAGCUUGGCGACUCCUCACGGCACCAGAUUCUCUAUGUGCUAGACUCCUUCGAGCUAAAUAUUUCCCCAAUGGUAGCUUGGUUGAUACAGUGUUUUCGGGAAACUCUUCGGCAGUAUGGAAAGGAAUCGAGUAUGGCCUGGAACUAGUG